AGCGUACACGGUGGAUGCCCUGGCAGUCAGAGGCGAUGAAGGACGUGCUAAUCUGCGAUAAGCGUCGGUAAGGUGAUAUGAACCGUUAUAACCGGCGAUUUCCGAAUGGGGAAACCCAGUGUGAUUCGUCACACUAUCAUUAACUGAAUCCAUAGGUUAAUGAGGCGAACCGGGGGAACUGAAACAUCUAAGUACCCCGAGGAAAAGAAAUCAACCGAGAUUCCCCCAGUAGCGGCGAGCGAACGGGGAGCAGCCCAGAGCCUGAAUCAGUGUGUGUGUUAGUGGAAGCGUCUGGAAAGGCGCGCGAUACAGGGUGACAGCCCCGUACACAAAAAUGCACAUGCUGUGAGCUCGAUGAGUAGGGCGGGACACGUGGUAUCCUGUCUGAAUAUGGGGGGACCAUCCUCCAAGGCUAAAUACUCCUGACUGACCGAUAGUGAACCAGUACCGUGAGGGAAAGGCGAAAAGAACCCCGGCGAGGGGAGUGAAAAAGAACCUGAAACCGUGUACGUACAAGCAGUGGGAGCACGCUUCGGCGUGUGACUGCGUACCUUUUGUAUAAUGGGUCAGCGACUUAUAUUCUGUAGCAAGGUUAACCGAAUAGGGGAGCCGAAGGGAAACCGAGUCUUAACUGGGCGUUAAGUUGCAGGGUAUAGACCCGAAACCCGGUGAUCUAGCCAUGGGCAGGUUGAAGGUUGGGUAACACUAACUGGAGGACCGAACCGACUAAUGUUGAAAAAUUAGCGGAUGACUUGUGGCUGGGGGUGAAAGGCCAAUCAAACCGGGAGAUAGCUGGUUCUCCCCGAAAGCUAUUUAGGUAGCGCCUCGUGAAUUCAUCUCCGGGGGUAGAGCACUGUUUCGGCAAGGGGGUCAUCCCGACUUACCAACCCGAUGCAAACUGCGAAUACCGGAGAAUGUUAUCACGGGAGACACACGGCGGGUGCUAACGUCCGUCGUGAAGAGGGAAACAACCCAGACCGCCAGCUAAGGUCCCAAAGUCAUGGUUAAGUGGGAAACGAUGUGGGAAGGCCCAGACAGCCAGGAUGUUGGCUUAGAAGCAGCCAUCAUUUAAAGAAAGCGUAAUAGCUCACUGGUCGAGUCGGCCUGCGCGGAAGAUGUAACGGGGCUAAACCAUGCACCGAAGCUGCGGCAGCGACGCUUAUGCGUUGUUGGGUAGGGGAGCGUUCUGUAAGCCUGUGAAGGUGUGCUGUGAGGCAUGCUGGAGGUAUCAGAAGUGCGAAUGCUGACAUAAGUAACGAUAAAGCGGGUGAAAAGCCCGCUCGCCGGAAGACCAAGGGUUCCUGUCCAACGUUAAUCGGGGCAGGGUGAGUCGACCCCUAAGGCGAGGCCGAAAGGCGUAGUCGAUGGGAAACAGGUUAAUAUUCCUGUACUUGGUGUUACUGCGAAGGGGGGACGGAGAAGGCUAUGUUGGCCGGGCGACGGUUGUCCCGGUUUAAGCGUGUAGGCUGGUUUUCCAGGCAAAUCCGGAAAAUCAAGGCUGAGGCGUGAUGACGAGGCACUACGGUGCUGAAGCAACAAAUGCCCUGCUUCCAGGAAAAGCCUCUAAGCAUCAGGUAACAUCAAAUCGUACCCCAAACCGACACAGGUGGUCAGGUAGAGAAUACCAAGGCGCUUGAGAGAACUCGGGUGAAGGAACUAGGCAAAAUGGUGCCGUAACUUCGGGAGAAGGCACGCUGAUAUGUAGGUGAAGUCCCUCGCGGAUGGAGCUGAAAUCAGUCGAAGAUACCAGCUGGCUGCAACUGUUUAUUAAAAACACAGCACUGUGCAAACACGAAAGUGGACGUAUACGGUGUGACGCCUGCCCGGUGCCGGAAGGUUAAUUGAUGGGGUCAGCGCAAGCGAAGCUCUUGAUCGAAGCCCCGGUAAACGGCGGCCGUAACUAUAACGGUCCUAAGGUAGCGAAAUUCCUUGUCGGGUAAGUUCCGACCUGCACGAAUGGCGUAAUGAUGGCCAGGCUGUCUCCACCCGAGACUCAGUGAAAUUGAACUCGCUGUGAAGAUGCAGUGUACCCGCGGCAAGACGGAAAGACCCCGUGAACCUUUACUAUAGCUUGACACUGAACAUUGAGCCUUGAUGUGUAGGAUAGGUGGGAGGCUUUGAAGUGUGGACGCCAGUCUGCAUGGAGCCGACCUUGAAAUACCACCCUUUAAUGUUUGAUGUUCUAACGUUGACCCGUGAUCCGGGUUGCGGACAGUGUCUGGUGGGUAGUUUGACUGGGGCGGUCUCCUCCUAAAGAGUAACGGAGGAGCACGAAGGUUGGCUAAUCCUGGUCGGACAUCAGGAGGUUAGUGCAAUGGCAUAAGCCAGCUUGACUGCGAGCGUGACGGCGCGAGCAGGUGCGAAAGCAGGUCAUAGUGAUCCGGUGGUUCUGAAUGGAAGGGCCAUCGCUCAACGGAUAAAAGGUACUCCGGGGAUAACAGGCUGAUACCGCCCAAGAGUUCAUAUCGACGGCGGUGUUUGGCACCUCGAUGUCGGCUCAUCACAUCCUGGGGCUGAAGUAGGUCCCAAGGGUAUGGCUGUUCGCCAUUUAAAGUGGUACGCGAGCUGGGUUUAGAACGUCGUGAGACAGUUCGGUCCCUAUCUGCCGUGGGCGCUGGAGAACUGAGGGGGGCUGCUCCUAGUACGAGAGGACCGGAGUGGACGCAUCACUGGUGUUCGGGUUGUCAUGCCAAUGGCACUGCCCGGUAGCUAAAUGCGGAAGAGAUAAGUGCUGAAAGCAUCUAAGCACGAAACUUGCCCCGAGAUGAGUUCUCCCUGACUCCUUGA
rnacentral:rRNA from 1 species